rnacentral:tRNA from 1 species
GGGCGCUUAGCUCAGCUGGUAGAGCGUCUGCCUUACACGCAGAAUGUCGGGAGUUCGAGCCUCUCAGCGCCCACCA